UGCCGAGCACUUUCGAAUUUGUCUUUCUGGCCAUGAAUGAAUGAUGAAAGCUGUGCAUAAUUGCAAGGCACAACGAAAGCAUCUUCCUCUGGCCAAUUGUCAUAAAUGAAAUUUUGCUAAGCUAUAGCUCUCGUGUGCGACAUAAGUCAUAGUAUUUUUUUGAAGAUUUCGCGCGAUGCAAAUUGACCAUAAGUUUUUUAUCUAUGUUUUAUCAUAACCAUGAAUGUUUAUUUGCUCAUUAUUAGCGUGCUAUACUAUACAUUUUCGACACGGGCGAAUGCAUAUUGACAAAGGUGUCAUUCGCCUUUCCUAAUUUUGCACUACUCGGAGAACCAAAUACCCAAAUAAUCGCUUGAAUAAUUGCAUAAUUGACAAACAGAUUGACACAAAAUGGUAGACGGCGGUCUACAUCAGUUGUACCAACUACGAACACUACCGAACAAAAUGUGCCGAGGAGGAGUUUUGUCACGACGCGAAAUUUUACUUCACAGCGCCCGUCUGCUUCUAAUCGAAGAAGGAUUAGGGAAUCUAAAAAAAGGCAUGGUGCUAUAGAUAAUAGACCAUUCUUAUGCGACCUUAUUUUGCUGGGAGGACCGAAUGCUUCUGUCGUUUCUCGUCAUAGAGCAUGCCUUGCUCUGAUGGAACGGAGUCACAUGAUGUCAGGCUGCAGAUUCACCAAGGCAAUGAACGCUGCACAAGAGGAAAUUGCCAUAAUGGAAGCUUUUGUUGACAAAACUCCAGCUGGUGUGGAUAUCGAAAUAUUAAUGUCAAUGCACACAUCUCUUAUUGUGCCAUUUUUGGCUCAUCGUCAGAUUGGCAUUGAUGGAGCAAUUUUGCAACGGCUCUUUCAGAGUAAACCAGUUUAGGUGUGACCAAACAAACAGGUCAUAAUUGAGCAUCAUAUAUGAGUUUCUGUUGUCCUCUUCCGUGGUUUAAUAGCUGCAUCAACUGUUUUACUUGCACAUGUGUAUGUUAAUGCACCAUAUUUCAACAUCUUGAUUGGAAAAACGAAUUAAUUGACAAUAUUAUACUCAUCAUAUAUAAAUUAAAUAUGCAGUCAAUGUGGAAAAAUGUGUAAUUUAAUAUAAUACACAUCACAGGAAUAGUUUGUGAAGUCCCUGUUAUAUUUUUAAAUAAUGAUUUGUUUGGUGAUGUGCAGAUUUCCAGAAGCUCUACUGAUGCCAAUCCUGAGCCAUUAGCUUUGCCUCGAGAUACAGCACAAUCUCUAUCAUCACUGCCUCCAGAGACAGCACAAGCUUCUUUACAAUCAACCACUGAUCUUCAUACAAUUGGUGUACAGGAUACAUCAGCACAAUCUCCGUUUUCAUUGCCUUAAGAGACAGCACAAGCUUCUUUUCAAUCUACUACUGAUCUUCAUGCAGUUUGUGUACAGGAUACAUCACAUUAUUUCCACCAUGCUUUAUCUUAUCGCUAAGUCAAUCUAAAGAUGGACUUAGAUUAAAGAGACCAAUACCGGUUAAUGUAGAUCUUUAAAUUACCAAGUCAUACCAAAAACUAAUUUAAUAUAAAAGCUAGUUGUUGCUGAUAUGUUUUCAAGAAUUAUUCUUCAUAUCAAUAUGUUCUUGGCUUAGGCAGUUAAAAAUUUUUAUUGCAAUACGCGCACUUACAAUACAAUAGUAAAUCAAUUUUAAAGUUAUCAAUAGCAUCAUAGUUCACCAGCUCUUUGCACAUUGCACAUUUUAACAAAAUCAAUUUCCUUUUUAACGUGUUACAAUAGUUUACCAAAAUUGAAAUGGCAUACCCGACAAGCCAAGUAGCCUAUAUGUACUGUAGAUAAAGCUAUGCAGAAACAUAUUGUAAAAUACAUUACAAAAUCGAAA